rnacentral:piRNA from 5 species
CAAAGUGAAGAAAUUCAAUGAAGC